UUGCUGGAGCGCCUAGGCGCCCCAGAAACCCUUUGUGAACUUAUACCUUACUGUUGCCUCGGCGCAUGCUGGCCCCCUCGGGGUCCCCUGGAGACAGGGAGCAGGCACGCCGGCGGCCAAGUUAACUCUUGUUUUUACACUGAAACUCUGAGAAAAAAACACAAAUGAAUCAAAACUUUCAACAACGGAUCUCUUGGUUCUGGCAUCGAUGAACAACGCAGCGAAAUGCGAUAAGUAAUGUGAAUUGCAGAAUUCAGUGAAUCAUCGAAUCUUUGAACGCACAUUGCGCCCUCUGGAAUUCCGGAGGGCAUGCCUGUUCGAGCGUCAUUUCAACCCUCAAGCAUUGCUUGGUGUUGGGGCACUGCCUGUAAAAGGGCAGGCCCUGAAAUCUAGUGGCGAGCUCGCUAGGACCCCGAGCGUAGUACUUAAACCCUCGCUUUGGAAGGCCCUGGCGGUGCCCUGCCGUUAAACCCCCAACUUUUGAAAAUUUGACCUCGGAUCAGGUAGGAAUACCCGCUGAACUUAAGCAUAUCAAUAAGCGGAGGAAA
rnacentral:rRNA from 1 species